CUCACACUGGAGAGAAGCCUUACAAAUGUAAAGAAUGUGACAAAGCUUUCAGUUUAAAAUCACUCCUAAUUUGCCACAGAAGAACUCACACUGGAGAGAAGAACUACAGAUGUAAAGCUUGUGGCAAAGCUUUUGGUCAAAAAUCACACCUUAUUUACCACAGCAGAACUCAUACUGGAGAGAAGCCCUACAAAUGCAAAGAUUGUGGCAAAGUUUUUGGUCAAAAAUCAGACCUUAUUUACCAUAGCAGAACUCACACUGGAGAGAAGCCCUACAAAUGUAAAGAAUGUGACAAAUCUUUUGGUAAAAAAUCACACCUUAUUCACCUCAGCUUCCCAGUUUGCUUGGAUUACAAGCAUAGACAAUCAUGUCAGGUUUACAGUGCAUUUUUUAA
rnacentral:lncRNA from 1 species